GGACCCGCACAAGCGGUGGAGCAUGUGGUUUAAUUCGAUGCAACGCGAAGAACCUUACCUGGCCUUGACAUCCAUGGAACCCUGAAGAGAUUUAGGGGUGCCGUAAGGAACCAUGAGACAGGUGCUGCAUGGCUGUCGUCAGCUCGUGUCGUGAGAUGUUGGGUUAAGUCCCGCAACGAGCGCAACCCUUGUCCUUAGUUGCCAGCAUUCAGUUGGGCACUCUAAGGAGACCGCCGGUGACAAACCGGAGGAAGGUGGGGAUGACGUCAAGUCAUCAUGGCCUUUAUGGCCAGGGCUACACACGUGCUACAAUGGUAGGUACAGAGGGAAGCCAACGCGCGAGCGGGAGCCAAUCCCAGAAAACCUAUCGUAGUCCGGAUCGGAGUCUGCAACUCGACUCCGUGAAGUCGGAAUCGCUAGUAAUCGCAGAUCAGCAUUGCUGCGGUGAAUACGUUCCCGGGUCUU
rnacentral:rRNA from 1 species